UUCCGCCCGCCCCAGCCCCCCAUCUCCAAGUCCUUGCUGGUCCCGACCCGGCCACGUAAAUUAUUUCCCCAGCUAUGCGACGCCCGCGGAGUCCCCUCCUACGGAUUCCACCUCAUCUUGUCCUUUGCGCUGGACGCAUUCAGAGCCCAUUGAAGAUGGGGAGGCAGAGUCCCAGAGAGAUGACUUGCUCUAGGGCAAGCCAGCUGCCAUGUUGUGAGGAUACUCAAGCAGCACUAUGGUCUAUGUGGAGAGGAACUGAGGCCUCCUCCUGCCAACACUGACUUGCCAGGCAUAUGAGUGAGCCACCUUGCAAAUGGAUCUUCUAGCCCAAGUGAAGUCUUCACAUGACUGCAGCCUGACUGAUGUUUGACUGCAACCUCCUUGAGACACCUAGCUCAGUCAGAACUACCUAGCUCCCCUGCUUCUCCCUCUGCCCUCUUCCCUCUCGUGCUGUCUCUCAUUCUCUCUCUCUCAAAUAAAUAAAAUCUUUAAAAAAAAAAAAAAAAAGAACUACCUAGCUCCCAAAUUCCUGAUUCACAGCACCUGUGAUCUAAUAAAUGUUUUGGGCCAAUUAAUUAUACUGUGAUAAAUAACUGA